rnacentral:rRNA from 1 species
AUGUCCCGGCUUAACUAGGGGAUUAUCUCUUUGAUUCCCAUGGUCCUGGGCGCUGCUGACAUAAGGCAAUUCCAGCCUAUCACAGUUCUCAAUGUGAUAUUCCGGAUUUUGGCCAAGGGGUACGCCACUAGGGCGGCCCUUAUCGCUCCCUGGAUCCAUCACCCAAACCAAUCUGCCUUCACGAAAGGCAGGUAUAUUCUGGAUGGGAUCCUCGUUCUCUAUGAGAUCAUCCAUGAGGUCAAGAGCAAGCACCUCCGCGCGGUGUUCUUCAAGAUUGACUUCCAUAAAGCAUACGACACCGUCCAUUGGUCCUUCCUUCGGGAGGUGUUGCUCAAGCCUGGAUUCGACCCUCAUUGGGUGGCGAGGGUGAUGCAGUUAGUGACGAGCGGCCGCACAGCUGUGAACAUCAAUGGGGAGAUCGGGCCUUACUUCAUGACUGGCCAAGGCGUUCGGCAAGGGGAUCCGAUCUCCCCAUUUCUUUUCAACCUUGUGGUUGAUGCUCUAGCAUCGAUCCUUGAUUUGGCCAAACGAGCCGGUCACAUUCGGGGGAUUUUACCCCAUAUUGUGGCCAAUGGAGGUCUAACCCACCUCCAAUAUGCGAUGAUACCAUUAUGA